rnacentral:rRNA from 1 species
CAACUUUCAACAACGGAUAUCUUGGUUCUGGCAUCGAUGAAGAACGCAGAGAAAUGCGAUAAGUAGUGUGAAAUGCAGAAUUCAGUGAAUCAUAGAAUCUUUGAACGCACACUGCGCCCCCUGGUAUUCCAUGGGGCACGCCCGUUCGAGCGUCAUU